rnacentral:misc_RNA from 1 species
GAGGCACAAAACUCCCAUAGCGAUGAACUCCGGCAUAAUCACUUUAUUUAUUCUAGAAGCAGAGUCAUAAGGGUUGAUAUAAUCAAACUCGAGAUCCGCCAAGCACAUGAGCUGAUAAACAAGGACAAUAAGAAGAGCAAUGAGGAAGAAGAAUGAUAUAAGCCACACAUAUAGAUCCCCCAUGCUCCUCCUCUUCCCUUCCGCAGUCAAUCAAGCUAUAUUACCAGUGAUUCUUGGUUAAAAGCGAACAGAGCGAUUGAAG